ACAUCGCCUCUUGUACCUUGAAAUAUAAGAGGUCCCGCCUGCCCUGUGACUGUAAGUUUAACGGCCGCGGUAUUUUGACCGUGCAAAGGUAGCGCAAUCACUUGUCUUUUAAAUGAAGACCUGUAUGAACGGCAUAACGAGGGCUUAACUGUCUCCUUUUUCCAGUCAAUGAAGUUGAUCUCCCCGUGCAGAAGCGGGGAUAAGAACAUAAGACGAGAAGACCCUAUGGAGCUUUAGACACCAGAACAGACCAUGUUAAGUAUCCCUUAAAUAAAAGACAAAACUGAUUGGCCCCCGUUCUAAUGUCUUUGGUUGGGGCGACCGCGGGGAAACAAAAAACCCCCAUGUGGAUCGAGAGCACCCCGCUCCUACAACCUAGAGUUACAGCUCUAAGUAACAGAAUUUCUGACCAGCAAGAUCCGGCACACGCCGAUCAACGGACCGAGUUACCCUAGGGAUAACAGCGCAAUCCUCUUUUAGAGUCCAUAUCGACAAGAGGGUUUACGACCUCGAUGUUGGAUCAGGACAUCCUAAUGGU
rnacentral:rRNA from 1 species